CCUACGGGAGGCAGCAGUGAGGAAUAUUGGUCAAUGGGCGCGAGCCUGAACCAGCCAAGUAUCGUGAAGGAUGACUGCCCUACGGGUUGUAAACUUCUUUUAUAAAGGAAUCAAGUGAGGCACGUGUGCCUUUUUGUAUGUACUUUAUGAAUAAGGCUCGGCUAACUCCGUGCCAGCAGACGCGGUAAUACUGAGGAUCCGGGCGUUAUCCGGAUUUAUUGGGUUUAAAGGGAGCGUAAAUGGGUUGUUAAGUCAGUUGUGAAAGUUUGCGGCUCAACCGUAAAAUUGCAAUUGAUACUGGCAGCCGUGAGUACAGUUGAGGUAGGCGGAAUUCGUGGUGUAGCGGUGAAAUGCUUAGAUAUCACGAAGAACUCCGAUUGCGAAGGCAGCUUACUAAACUGCCACUGACAUUGAUGCUCGAAAGUGUGGGUAUCAAACAGGAUGAGAUACCCCAGUAGUC
rnacentral:rRNA from 1 species